GUCUAUGGCCAUGCCACCCUGAACAUGCCCGAUCCUGUCUGAUCUUAGAAGCUAAGCAGGUUCAGGCCUGGUUAGUACUUGGAUGGGAGACCACCUAGGAAGACCAGGUGCUGUAGGUG
rnacentral:rRNA from 1 species